rnacentral:lncRNA from 1 species
CAGAAACUUAUCUCGCCAUGGCCAAUCGCCCAGCCAAGUUGUUGGCCAAGUUCCCAGAUAAAAUCGUCCGUCAUUGAGUGCGUGAAUGGAUGACUUGGCCCACCACCAACCCAUCCGUCGAUAGAGUUCCCCCCACCUGUCUGCGCUGAUUGAAUGACUGAAUUGGUGAGUGAGGGGGGGCAAGGAAGGUGAACUUGUGGUAGCUCCCAUAUAGUCUGAUUAUCCGCCAGCUAAUCCGAUGGACCCGUGCCCGUUCCG